rnacentral:rRNA from 1 species
AACAAACGCUGGCGGCGUGCCUAACACAUGCAAGUCGAACGCGAAAGGGACUUCGGUCCUGAGUAAAGUGGCGCACGGGUGAGUAACGCGUGGGUAAUCUGCCCCUCAGUUGGGAAUAACCCAUCGAAAGGUGGGCUAAUACCGAAUAAUGCUGUAUCGCCUCGGUGAUUCAGCCAAAGACGGCCUCUGCUUGCAAGCUGUCGCUGAGAGAUGAGCCCGCGUACCAUUAGCUUGUUGGUGGGGUAAUGGCCUACCAAGGCGGCGAUGGUUAGCUGAUCUGAGAGGAUGAUCAGCCACACUGGAACUGAGACACGGUCCAGACUCCUACGGGAGGCAGCAGUGAGGAAUCUUGCGCAAUGGGGGAAACCCUGACGCAGCAACGCCGCGUGAGUGAGGAAGGCCUGGUCGUAAGACGUCUGUCGGUGGAAGAAACGACAUGGUGCGUAAUACCUAAUCUAUGCUUGUACGGUACCGCCGAAACGGAACGACGACC